UUCAUCAUCAACUCUUUCCCAGUUGACAGUGGUAUUACAAUCCCACCAGGGGAGGUCUAUCCUGUUGUUUUGGAUGGGUGGGAAAACUUGGGAAAGAUCAG